rnacentral:tRNA from 1 species
CGAUCGAGGGUGCAGGAGUCUUUGCGUACGGCCACGUGG